CUCAUCUUCAGCUAGCGCAGUGAAGAUUUAUUGCACCUACGAGAUUUGGACUUAGUACUUUCUUCUCAAAGCAAAAAGGUAUGUAAAGUUUCAACAGGUUCAACAUGCAAAAUAAGUGCUCCGUGAACUCAUUUUUGAUCAUGUUGGAAAGACUGUGUGAUUGAAGCACAGAAUGAAAGACAUUAUUACUCAGCUCCCAAGCUGAGAGGAAUCAGAUCUGUGUCUUAAUUGUAUAAUGCUUCUGUGUGAGUACCCAUUGGAUGGAUGGACAGGUGGACUGUCUUUGCUAGAAUUCCUCAUCAUCAUCUCGUUGCAUGCUUCCUUGAAAACCAAUAAAAUAACGCUGAUUUUUCACACUAAUUCUUUAUUAAUACUUGUUUCUCAGUGUGUGGAUGGCUCAUUGGCAGUAUCACAAUGCAGCCAUCGCUACUCUGUGUUAUAAAUUUCACAGUUUCUAAGCCAAGUUUUGGGUCAACCUGCCAUUAUGUAAACAAUGUUCUGCUUAAAAACAUUUUUUUCUCUGCCCCAUACCUUUGUAUGUCUACAGUCCUACUGUUUGGCACAUCACCUUUCGGCACUGCAAGAAGUAUAUAUGUGCUGGUAAAAUAAUAUGAAUUUUAUGUCUGUGGACUCAGACUUCAGUCUGCUGAAAAACAGAACAUGAUAUGCUCAUAACUUGUUUCCUAUAUAUUGAAUUGAUCCAGCCUUUAACUGCCCUUUGGGAGAUAUAUAUGUGCCUCAGAAUUAAGUUAAUAGAAUAGUAUGUAUAUAUAUAUACACACAAUUGCUGUCUGAAAAAACCUCUCCAUUUACUUCCUUCCCAACCCUGCUGUGAGCCUCAUCUCCUGAAAAGUCUCCUUCCAGCUGAGAGAAGAUGGAGGUUCCUUCUCCUAUUGCCCAUAAACUUCAUGCUGAAUAAAAUAUGGAGGAGGAGGAGGAGGUAGCUGAAGAGGAAUGUGAGGCCUGUUCACUCCUAUAUACACAUCAGGAGCUGGGUGUGUUGCCACUGCAGUGCUUUCAGCCUCUGCCAUCCUGGGUAGUUCAGAAGCCCUGCUUUGCAGCACAAAUCCCUGGAUCAGAUUCUGAGAUCAACACCUGGAGUGAUGCUGAUACGGUCCAGAGGGAGUCUCCCCCAGUUCUCUUUGACAAAAGGGUUGGUUGUCAUGAUUCAAGGCCAUCAGGGGUUGGAAGAUAUGAAGCAUGAAAACAGAGAGAACACUGGGUCUCAAAAAAAUAAAAGGUUUCUGGGAAAUAUAUAGUAGGUAGAG
rnacentral:lncRNA from 1 species